GGCCGCGAAGAUAGCACUUUGGAUGCACCAGUUCCUCAUGGAUCACUGAAGUUAAGCAACGUUGCGCGUGGUUAGUAUCCAGAUGAGUGACCAUAUGGGCGUUCGAAUGCUGGCUUUUC
rnacentral:rRNA from 1 species